CCAGACUCCUACGGGAGGCAGCAGUGGGGAAUAUUGCACAAUGGGGGGAACCCUGAUGCAGCGACGCCGCGUGGGUGAAGGAGCACCUCGGUGCGUAAAGCCCUAUCGGCAGGGAAGAAAAGCGAACAGGUUCGCCUGGACGGUACCUGACUAAGAAGCCCCGGCUAACUACGUGCCAGCAGCCGCGGUAAUACGUAGGGGGCAAGCGUUAUCCGGAUUCACUGGGUGUAAAGGGAGCGUAGACGGCGACGCAAGUCUGGAGUGAAAGCCCGGGGCCCACCCCCGGGACUGCUCUGGAAACUGCGUCGCUGGAGUACGGGAGGGGCAGGCGGAAUUCCUGGUGUAGCGGUGAAAUGCGUAGAUAUCACGGAGAACUCCGAUUGCGAAGGCAGCUUACUAAACUGCCACUGACAUUGAUGCUCGAAAGUGUGGGGAUCAAACAGGAUUAGAUACCCCGGUAAGU
rnacentral:rRNA from 1 species